rnacentral:rRNA from 1 species
CCUACGGGAGGCAGCAGUAGGGAAUAUUGCUCAAUGGGGGAAACCCUGAAGCAGCAACGCCGCGUGGAGGAUGAAGGUUUUCGGAUUGUAAACUCCUUUUGUUAGAGAAGAUAAUGACGGUAUCUAACGAAUAAGCACCGGCUAACUCCGUGCCAGCAGCCGCGGUAAUACGGAGGGUGCAAGCGUUACUCGGAAUCACUGGGCGUAAAGAGCGCGUAGGCGGGAUAGCAAGUCAGAUGUGAAAUCCUAGGGCUUAACCAUAGAACUGCAGUUGAAACUGUUAUUCUAGAGUAUGGGAGAGGUAGGUGGAAUUCUUGGUGUAGGGGUAAAAUCCGUAGAGAUCAAGAGGAAUACUCAUUGCGAAGGCGACCUGCUAGAACAUAACUGACGCUGAUGUGCGAAAGCGUGGGGAGCAAACAGGAUUAGAUACCCGGGUAGUC